rnacentral:rRNA from 1 species
UACGGAGGGGGCAAGCGUUGUUCGGAAUCAUUGGGCGUAAAGGGCGCGUAGGUGGUCUUGUAUGUCUACCGUGAAAGCGUACGGCUCAACCGUAUUUAGUCGGUAGAAACUGCAGGACUUGAGGCUGGGAGGGGCUGGUGGAAUUCCCUGUGUAGCGGUGAAAUGCGUAGAGAUGGGGGAGAACACUCGUGGCGAAGGCGGCCAGCUGGACCAGUUCUGACACUGAGGAGCGAAAGCGUGGGGAGCGAACAGG